rnacentral:rRNA from 1 species
UACGGGGGGAGCAAACGUUGUUCGGAAUCACUGGGCGUAAAGGGCGUGUAGGCGGUUCUGUAAGUGGUGUGUGAAAUCCGAUGGCUCAACCAUCGAGCUGCGCUCCAUACUGCAGGACUUGAGUACAGCAGAGGAAAGUGGAAUUCCCGGUGUAGCGGUGAAAUGCGCAGAUAUCAGGAGGAACACCGGUGGCGAAGGCGGGUCUCUGGGCCGAUACUGACGCUGAGGAGCGAAAGCGUGGGGAGCGAACAGG